UAUUGUGGGGGUAUUUCCUUCUUCAAUUAAUUUGAGUGAAGGUAGUCUUCUCUCUUACCCAUGAGUGAGGAGUAGACAUCCCUCGAAUAUUUGUGAGGGUUAAAAUCUGGGCAGAGCUCCAUUAGCAUUGAUGUCAGUUGGUCCCAGUAAUAGUCUGAUUUGUAAAUAUCAGUAAUAGUCUCAUGUAUAUGAGUUGUAAUCUGAGUAAUAGUCUCAUG
rnacentral:lncRNA from 1 species